CGCUGGCGGCGUGCCCUAAUACAUGCAGGUCGAACGGCUUUUCUAUGGAAGCUUGCUUCCACUGAGAAGAUAGUGGCGAACGGGUGAGUAACACGUGGGUAACCUGCCCAUAAGAGGGGGGAUAACAUCCGGAAACGGGUGCUAAUACCGCAUAGUUUUCUUGAUCGCAUGAUUGAGAAAGGAAAGACGGCCUUUGUGCUGUCGCUUAUGGAUGGACCCGCGGCGUAUUAGUUAGUUGGUGAGGUAACGGCUCACCAAGACGAUGAUACGUAGCCGACCUGAGAGGGUGAUCGGCCACAUUGGGACUGAGACACGGCCCAAACUCCUACGGGAGGCAGCAGUAGGGAAUCUUCCGCAAUGGACGAAAGUCUGACGGAGCAACGCCGCGUGAGUGAAGAAAAGGUUUUCGGAUCGUAAAACUCUGUUGUCAGAGAAGAACAAGUUGGAGAGUAACUGCUCCAGCCUUGACGGUAUCUGACCAGAAAGCCACGGCUAACUACGUGCCAGCCGCAGC
rnacentral:rRNA from 1 species